GACGAACGCUGGCGGCGUGCUUAACACAUGCAAGUCGAACGGUAAGGCCCUUCGGGGUACACGAGUGGCGAACGGGUGAGUAACACGUGGGUGAUCUGCCCUGCACUUCGGGGUAAGCCUGGGAAACUGGGUCUAAUACCGGAUAGGACUCCGGACUGCAUGGUCUGGGGUGGAAAGCUUUUGCGGUGUGGGAUGGGCCCGCGGCCUAUCAGCUUGUUGGUGGGGUGAUGGGCUACCAAGGCGACGACGGGUAGCCGGCCUGAGAGGGUGACCGGCCACACUGGGACUGAGAGACGGCCCAGACUCCGACGGGAGGCAGCAGUGGGGAAUAUUGCACAAUGGGCGCAAGCCUGAUGCAGCGACGCGGCGUGAGGGAUGACGGCCUUCGGGUUGUAAACCUCUUUCAGCUAUGACGAAGCGCAAGUGACGGUAGUAGCAGAAGAAGGACCGGCCAACUACGUGCCAGCCGCCGCCGUAA
rnacentral:rRNA from 1 species